rnacentral:rRNA from 1 species
CCUACGGGAGGCAGCAGUGAGGAAUAUUGGUCAAUGGGCGGAAGCCUGCACCAGCCAAGUCGCGUGAGGGAAUAAGGCCCUACGGGUCGUAAACCUCUUUUGCCGGGGAGCAAGGGCGGGGACGUGUCCCGGCCCGGAGAGUACCCGGAGAAAAAGCAUCGGCUAACUCCGUGCCAGCAGCCGCGGUAAUACGGAGGAUGCGAGCGUUAUCCGGAUUUAUUGGGUUUACAGGGUGCGUAGGCGGGCUUUUCAGUGAGCGGUAAAAAUUCGGGGCUCAACCCCGUCCGGCCGUUGAAACGGGGGGCAUUGAGUGGGCGAGAAGAAGGCGGAAGGCGGGGUGUAGCGGUGAAAUGCAUCGAGAUCACGCAGAACCCAGAUGGCGAAGGAAGCCUUCCGGCGCCCUACUGACGCUGAGGCACGAAAGGGCGGGGAUAGAACAGGAUUAGAAACCCAAGUAUUC